UACAGAGGGCGCGAGCGUUGUCCGGAAUCACUGGGCGUAAAGCGCGCGUAGGCGGCUAGAUCAGUCUGCUGUAAAAGUCAAAGGCUCAACCUUUGAAAGCCGGUGGAUACUGUCUAGCUAGAGUCCGGAAGAGGCGAGUGGAAUUCCUGGUGUAGCGGUGGAAUGCGCAGAUAUCAGGAGGAACACCAACGGCGAAGGCAGCUCGCUGGGACGGUACUGACGCUAAGGCGCGAAAGCGUGGGGAGCGAACAGG
rnacentral:rRNA from 1 species